rnacentral:rRNA from 1 species
UACGGGGGGGUGCGAGCGUUGUCCGGAAUCACUGGGCGUAAAGGGCGCGUAGGUGGUUUGAUAAGGGUGUGGUGAAAGCCCGGGGCUCAACCCCGGGUCUGCCGUGCCGACUGUUAAACUCGAGGGCUGUAGAGGCAGACGGAAUUCCGGGUGUAGCGGUGGAAUGCGUAGAGAUCCGGAGGAAGACCGGUGGCGAAGGCGCUCUGCUAGGCCGCAACUGACACUGAGGGACGAAAGCUAGGGGAGCGAAUGGG